CCCACGUUCAUUAAUAAUUCGAAAAAAAAUCCUCGCAUUAAUCCGCCGCAAAUCGCAGAAGCCCCGAAGACCCCCGCACAUCUCCGCCGGCGAAACCCUAGCGGCGGCCGGCGAUGGGGGAGUACGCGGCGGCCAAGACGUCGGUGUGGUGGGACAUCGAGAACUGCGCCGUCCCGCGCAGCUGCGACCCCCAGCUCAUCGUCCAGAACAUGAGCUCCGCCCUCGCCACCGCCGGCUACCGCGGCCCCAUCUCCGUCUCCGCCUACGGGGACACCCACCAAAUCGCCCACAACGUCCAGCACGCCCUCUCCAGCACCGGCGUCUCCCUCCACCACGUCCCCGCCGGCAUUAAAGAUGCAAGUGAUAAGAAGAUCUUGGUUGACAUGCUGUUCUGGGCUAUUGACAAUCCUCCACCAGCAAAUUAUCUGCUUAUCUCUGGUGACCGGGACUUCUCUCAUGCCAUUCAUAAGCUUAAAAUGAGGCGAUACAAUAUUUUAUUGGCACAACCUCCAAACGUGUCUCAAACACUUACUGCUGCAGCAAAGAGUGUUUGGCUCUGGAAAAGCCUUGUGGCUGGAGAACCACCAUUAGAACAGUCACCAUACAUAAGCAGCACAUCUUGUGGCAAUAAGGAUGAUUUGGCUACAUCAAGGAACAUAGUUUCUAGUUCUUUGGAUGUGACUCAAGAUGCCAACCCUGAAGUGCAGAAUAUUUUGUAUGAUCGUCAAAGCGGUUCUAAUGGCAUGGCAGAUAAGAAAUGUGAAGUUAAGCGACCUCGAGAAAUGGAGACAGACAAUGUGUCCAAACCAGCAAGCAAAAAGCAGCUGAAGAAGAUGAUUGGGCUGGCAAAUACCAGCACUAAGCAAACUGCUUUCAAGAAACCAACGCAAGGGCAACUAAAAGCAGUCAAGGGGCAGGGCUUGAUCUGCUAUAAGUGUGGUGAUGGGCACCGUGCUGCAGAGUGCACCUUUAGUGGCGACUGCCACGGUUGUGGCCGACAGGGCCACAAGGAUCGAGUGUGCAAAGCGAAUCCUAACAGCGUUGUCAAGUGGCAGCCGGCACAUGCACAAGACUUAGUCACGCCCUCACCAGGGUCUGUCUCCCGGCAGGCGACCCCUCAUGUGCCUUCUCCACCUCCAGCUUCCCCUGUCGCGGCUGCGCCGCCACAGACAACUGCUGAAACUCCUUCUGGCCCAACUUCGACACCACCACCGGAGUGCUUGCAGGAGACUCCUGCCAUGCCGACAGCUGUGUCAUUGGGUAAACCAGACGUGGUGACGCAACCGACAUCUUCAGCCCCUCAUCCUCCUACGGCUGUUCUAGCUCACCGGCCAAUGGCAGGACCAGGACAGUAUCAUCAAGUGGGUGCUUCUCGGCCGUUUCCAGCUUGGACACCACCACCAUGGUGCUUCUUGCAGGCGACUCCUGCUGUGCUAAGUCCACCUCCGGCUCCUGUGCCGCCACAUACGGGUGAUGGAAAAUUUUCUGCCCCAGCUCAGUCUGGAGUCUACGCCAUGUCAACAGCUGUGUCAUUGGGUAAACCAGACGUGAUGACGCAACGGGCAUCUUCAGCCCCUCAUCCUCCUACGGCAUUUCUAGCAGCUCACCGAUCAGUCACAGGACAGUAUCAUCAAGUGGGUGCUUCUCAGCUGCAACCGGCAUCUUCAGCCCCUCGUCCUCCUACGGCAGUUCUAGCUCACCAACCUGUCGCAGGACAGUAUCAUCAAGUGGGUGCUUCUCAGCUGCACCUGGCAUCUUCAGCCCCUCAUCCUCCUACGGCAGUUCUAGCUCACCAAUCAGUCGCAGGACAGUACCAUCAAGUGGGUGCUUCUCAGCUGCAUCCAGCUUGGACAUUUCCUCCGGGGUACUUCUGGCAGGCAAUGCAGCUUCUCCUGCAGCAGCGCCGCUCGUGACUUCCGUGCCGCCCUGGCGUUGCAGCUUGUCCUGCACCAGCUCACUCCAGAGUCUACCCCAUGCUCUUCCCCUUUGGCAGGCCAUGCUGACAAAGUGACAGGUAUACUCCUAUUGGAUUCUUUGUAUGCCCUUCUCUUCAACCGCCCGAGAGGAGGAAGAGAGGAAGGAGGGCUAUGAUGAAGAAGAGGUGGAGGAGGUUUUCACUAGCUUUUCUAGUAGGAGUGUUAGAGGCAAGUUGGGUUGGAGCUGCUACAGCUGCACCUUGCACUCUGGUUGAGGCAGGUACAUGCAUAUUGGUAGUCAAUGGAUGCACGUCACCAUUGAUACCAUUGGAUGUUUGUGCACCUAGUCCCAACACCUAGCCUGCUCUGAUGGCAGAAGCAAGGCGAUGGUACGGAACUGGCAAUUUUGUUGAAAGGGCAAGGAAGCACUGGCGGUGGCAGCGGGGAUAAAUUUAAGAGAAGGGGGGUCACGGCAUGGGAGAAGGGGAGAGAUAAGGGGACAGGUGCAUGAAUCUUGAAGCAAAUACAAGUGCUUAGAAGAUACUACCUCUGCGCACUAAUAUAAGACGUUUUUGCAGUUCGAGGGAGUAGAAAUUCCAAAUCAUGCGGCGUACGUAUCUGCGUAUGUCAUUGGAUUGUACUGAAAACAAAGAGUCACAUGCAAGCUAGAUCUAACAAAUGACAGUUAGGACAUGGGACAGGUGACCUAGGAAUUAUCAGGUUUCUUAGGACAAGGCUUUUUGACAAGAAGUUACUUUUUUAAUACGUACUCCCUCUGUCCGGAAAUACUUGUCAUCAAAAUGGAUAAAAGGAGAUGUAUCAGGACGUAUUUUAGUUCUAGAUACAUCUCUUUUUAUCCAUUUUGAUGACAAGUAUUUCCGGACGGAGGGAGUAUAUGAUUUGUACCAGUCGUGAUUUAUACACCCUAGAUACUGUAAUGUGAGAAGUAUACAGAUAUACUAGCUCCUGGACAGCGGUACUGAGCUACGUGGGUUUAUUGGCGGCCAUGUUAGGGGUGUUCAUACAAAAUCGAAGUAUGUUGCUGGCGGGUUAUAUUUUGAUUAAAAACAUUGUGUCUUUCAGGAUUGUUUGGGAAGCUUUCAAAUAAUAAUCCAAAUUUUGGAGAAAUUUUAGAGGAA